rnacentral:rRNA from 1 species
UGGGGAAUUUUGGACAAUGGGCGAAAGCCUGAUCCAGCAAUGCCGCGUGUGUGAAGAAGGCCUUCGGGUUGUAAAGCACUUUUGUCCGGAAAGAAAUCCUUGGCUCUAAUACAGUCGGGGGAUGACGGUACCGGAAGAAUAAGCACCGGCUAACUACGUGCCAGCAGCCGCGGUAAUACGUAGGGUGCAAGCGCUAAUCGGAAUUACUGGGCGUAAAGCGUGCGCAGGCGGUUUGCUAAGACCGAUGUGAAAUCCCCGGGCUCAACCUGGGAACUGCAUUGGUGACUGGCAGGCUAGAGUAUGGCAGAGGGGGGUAGAAUUCCACGUGUAGCAGUGAAAUGCGUAGAGAUGUGGAGGAAUACCGAUGGCGAAGGCAGCCCCCUGGGCCAAAUACUGACGCUCAUGCACGAAAGCGUGGGGAGCAAAACAGGAUUAGAUACCCUGGUAGUCCACGCCCUAAACGAUGUCAACUAGUUGUUGGGGAUUCAUUUCCUUAGUAACGUAGCUAACGCGUGAAGUUGACCGCCUGGGGAGUACGGUCGCAAGAUUAAAACUCAAAUGAAUUGACGGGGUCAUAGCUGUUUCCU